rnacentral:misc_RNA from 1 species
GAUGAAGAACGUAGCGAAAUGCGAUACGUAAUGUGAAUUACAGAAUUCAGUGAAUCAUCGAGUCUUUGAACGCACAUUGCGCCCCCUGGUAUUCCGGGGGGCAUGCCUGUCCGAGCGUCAUUGCUGCCCUCAAGCACGGCUUGUGUGUUGGGCCUCCGCCCCCCGGCUCCCGGGGGGCGGGCCCGAAAGGCAGCGGCGGCACCGCGUCCGGUCCUCGAGCGUAUGGGGCUUCGUCACCCGCUCCGUAGGCCCGGCCGGCGCCCGCCGGCGACCCCCCUCAAUCUUUCCAGGUUGACCUCGGAUCAGGUAGGGAUACCCGCUGAACUUAAGCAUAUCAAUAAGCGGAGGA